rnacentral:rRNA from 1 species
GACGAACGCUGGCGGCGUGCUUAACACAUGCAAGUCGAACGGAAAGGCCCUGCUUUUGUGGGGUGCUCGAGUGGCGAACGGGUGAGUAACACGUGAGUAACCUGCCCUUGACUUUGGGAUAACUUCAGGAAACUGGGGCUAAUACCGGAUAGGAGCUCCUGCUGCAUGGUGGGGGUUGGAAAGUUUCGGCGGUUGGGGAUGGACUCGCGGCUUAUCAGCUUGUUGGUGGGGGAGUGGCUUACCAAGGCUUUGACGGGUAGCCGGCCUGAGAGGGUGACCGGCCACAUGGGGACUGAGAUACGGCCCAGACUCCUACGGGAGGCAGCGGUGGGGAAUAUUGCACAGUGGGCGGAAGCCUGAUGCAGCAACGCCGCGUGCGGGAUGACGGCCUUCGGGUUGUAAACCGCUUUCGCCUGUGACGAAGCGUGAGUGACGGUAAUGGGUAAAGAAGCACCGGCUAACUACGUG